rnacentral:rRNA from 1 species
GGCAACAGCUCAAAUUUGAAAGCUAGCCUUCGGGUUCGCAUUGUAAUUUGUAGAGGAUGCUUUGGGUAAAACGCCAGUCUAAGUUCCUUGGAACAGGACGUCAUAGAGGGUGAGAAUCCCGUAUGUGACUGGAAAUGUUAACCUAUGUAAAGCUCCUUCGACGAGUCGAGUUGUUUGGGAAUGCAGCUCUAAAUGGGAGGUAAAUUUCUUCUAAAGCUAAAUAUUGGCGAGAGACCGAUAGCGCACAAGUAGAGUGAUCGAAAGAUGAAAAGCACUUUGGAAAGAGAGUUAAAAAGCACGUGAAAUUGUUGAAAGGGAAGCGCUUGCAAUCAGACUUGUUUAAACUGUUCGGCCGGUCUUCUGACCGGUUUACUCAGUUUGGACAGGCCAGCAUCAGUUUCGGCGGCCGGAUAAAGGCAUUGGGAAUGUGGCCUUCACUUCGGUGGAGGUGUUAUAGCCCAGUGUGUAAUACGGCCAGCCGGGACUGAGGUCCGCGCUUCGGCUAGGAUGCUGGCGUAAUGGUUGUAAGCGACCCGUCUUGAA